rnacentral:rRNA from 1 species
GAUGAACGCUGGCGGCGUGCCUAAUACAUGCAAGUCGAGCGAACGGACGAGAAGCUUGCUUCCCUGAUGUUAGCGGCGGACGGGUGAGUAACACGUGGAUAACCUACCUAUAAGACUGGGAUAACUUCGGGAAACCGGAGCUAAUACCGGAUAAUAUUUUGAACCGCAUGGUUCAAAAGUGAAAGACGGUCUUCAUGUCACUUAUAGAUGGAUCCGAGCUGCAUUAGCUAGUUGGUAAGGUAACGGCUUACCAAGGCAACGAUGCAUAGCCGACCUGAUAGGGUGAUCGCCCACACUGGAACUGAGACACGGUCCAUAGUCCUACGGGAGGCAGCAGUAGGGAAUCUUCCGCAAUGGGCGAAAGCCUGACGGAGCAACGCCGCGUGAGUGAUGAAGGUCUUCGGAUCGUAAAACUCUGUUAUUAGGGAAGAACAUAUGUGUAAGUAACUGUGCACAUCUUGACGGUACCUAAUCAGAAAGCCACGGCUAACUACGUG